CAAGUUUUUUUGUAAGUAUAAAAAGUCCGAUCUGCCCACUGAUAUGUGUAUUAAAGGGCCGCAGUAUUUUAACUGUGCAAAGGUAGCAUAAUCAUUAGUUCUUUAAUUGGGAUCUUGAAUGAAUGAUUAGACAAAAAAAUUACUGUCUUUAUAAUAAUAAUUGAAUUUAACUUUUAAGUGAAAAGGCUUAAAUAAUUUAAAGUGACGAUAAGACCCUAUAAAGCUUAAUAUUAUUAUAAAAUUUUUGGUAAUUUAAAUAUAAAGGUUUAAGGUUUAUUAAUAUUUUAUUGGGGCGAUAGAGGUAAAAAAACUAGUAACUGCUUUUAUUUUUAAUCAGAUAUUAAUGAUUAGUAUAUAAAUGAUCUUAUUUUAUAGAGUAGAAGAUUAAGUUACUUUAGGGAUAACAGCGUUAUUUUUCUUGAGAGUUCUUAUCGAAAGAAAAGAUUGCGACCUCGAUGUUGAAUUAAAAUAUCUAUAUAAUUGUAGUGGUUAUAUAAGAAGGUCUGUUCGACCUUUAAAUUUUUACGUGAUUUGAGUUCAGACCGGUUUAAACCAGGUCGGUUUCUAUCUUUUAAAUAAAUUAUAAUUAUUUUA
rnacentral:rRNA from 1 species